UACGGGGGGAGCAAGCGUUGUUCGGAUUUACUGGGCGUAAAGGGCGCGUAGGCGGUCAGCACAAGUCAGUUGUGAAAUCUCCGGGCUUAACUCGGAAAGGUCAACUGAUACUGUGCGACUAGAGUGCGGAAGGGGCAACUGGAAUUCUCGGUGUAGCGGUGAAAUGCGUAGAUAUCUGGAGGAACACCGGUGGCGAAGGCGGCAUCCUGGACCACGACUGACGCUGAGUGAGCGAAAGCCAGGGGAGCAAACGGG
rnacentral:rRNA from 1 species